CCGGUUUUAGCUCAGUGGUAGAGCAGCUGACUGUAGACAUCAGCUGGUCGCUAGUUCAAUCCUGGCAAACCGGA
rnacentral:tRNA from 1 species